AUCCUCCAAAGAAGCCGCUUCUAAGCGCACUCUGAUGAAGUAAGAGUUAAACUACUUAUACUUAUAUGAAACCUGAAUGAACUUUAUCAUUUUGUCCUCUCAGACUAUAGAUCUUUACUGUUAGUCCUCUUUAAUGAAGACCACCUACUGUUCUUCGACGGUAGAGGGACACCUAAAAUAGAGACAAGUUCUAUCGAAAUUUAAGUUAAUAAAGUACGACGAGAGAAAACUAGUCGGAACCAAGGGGAACCAUCCUCUAAGGCUAAGUAUUAUAAAUUUAGCGAUAGUGAAAAAGUACUGUAAAGGAAAAAAUUGAAAAGCGGGUAGUAGACCAAAAGACUCCUGAAAGGUUAACGGUUAGUUGAAGUAGAAGCCUCUCUAUCCUGAUCAGGUACAUAGUACUUGAAAGUUUUCUUCCUCUCUCUUUAUCUCCGACCCUCGGUCGGAUAUUUUCAGGAAACAGAGGUGUAAAAUGAAAAAAUAUUUUUGAACCUUUAAAUUCACUUACGAAUAGUAUCUAAAAAAUCUAAACGUAGAGUCUAAAGGAAAAAAUCAAUUUUGGAUGCGUUUGGAAUUCCGCCUGAGGAAGCUUCCUUACAACUACACUGUAUAAUCUCGUAGGAGGAUAAAGUGAUUAAUAUAUACAAAUUUAACACUUUCGGUGAAAAAGAACAUGAAUUAGUAACUCUAUAAGCAGUCGAAAUCCUUUAACAGGGACUACGGCGUACCUUUUGCAUAAUGGGUGAAUAGCUUGCCCUGAAGAAUUGUGAAAUUCUUUGUAAAUCUGACUCAUGACCUUUUAGGUCGGUAUUAUUACGCAUCCUAGAUGACUGAUAAUGCUAACGGUGAACCCUAAGGAUAACCUCUAAGGGAAUACCGUGGGAAGCUGUAAAUCGUAGGAAUAAGUGAAUUAUAAUUAAUCACUAGGUAAAAAUCUUUACCCUUUUUAUUAGCCCUGUAACGACUGAUUCGAAAGAAGAGAUUGAUUGCUAAAUUAAACAAUCGAUAACACGUCAGCACUCGAGCAUUCCAAAAAAUUAUGAUCAGCUAGUUAAUAGGAGUAGCAAGGUUAAAAGCCCUAGCGAAAGCGACUGGACUAUUGAACAUAUCAACAUUUCUACGAGUACUCUAACCAGUCCUUGAUAGUUUUAUGUUUGAAUAUAAAAUAAUAGUAAUGGAUAAGUUGCUUCUAUUAGACCCGAAGCCAGGUGAUCUUACCAAGACCAGAUGAUAAUAGAUCGAACGGAUGAAUGUUGCAUUAUUCCCCGAUGAGUCUUGGUAAGCGGUGAAAUGCCAAUCUGACCUGGUGAUAGCUGGUUUUCUACCGAAACAUAUUUAAGUAUGACAUCUACCUAUAAAUGCAAAGAAUUUUACUUUGCUAAAGAUUUAUGGAGGUACAGCACAGAGCUUCCCAACAAUUCUAAAUCUAUUAGUAGUAAUACUAAUAAAUAUUUAGAUGCGUUCAAGUUGCGGGGACUUAGAAAAUCUUACCUUUGGAAGCGAAUCUCGAAAUAACAUAAAUUGAUGGUAGAUAUUCAGACUGCUCAAGCUAAGUUGGGCAGUCAAGACGGAAACAGCCGAGAACACUGAUCAAGGUCCCAAAUGAUAGUUAAGUGAAAAUAAGGCAGUAGCCAAUUCUAAUACAGCUGUUAAGUGAGCCUGGUAGUCGCUACUUAUAAUGAACGUACGUAACAACGCAUCAGCAGUUAAGAAUAGUCGCGCCGAUAAUUUAACGGGUCUUAAACAAUCAACCGAUAUCGUGUUGGUUAAGAAUAUACCUGGAAAAAAAAGUAAAGUAUAUUCCUAAUCUAGGUAGUAGAACAUUCAGUCUAGCCUAUAAUCUAACAGUGUUUCAUUGUUAAGUAGGAUACUGAAGAGAGAAUGCUGACAUGAGUAACGUAAAAAGAAGUUAUAAUACUUCUCGCCGAAUACGAAAGGGUUACAAAGAAAGGUUAAUCCUCUUUGUUUUAAUGCGGCCUCUAAGGACCAAAACCAAAGUUUUGGCUGAUGAGUAAUAGAAUAGAAAACCCUUUAAGGGUCAAGAAAAUAAUAUUAAUAAAUCUAAUUAAGAGUCUGAGUUUAUAUGAAAAAUAAAAAAUUUCAUAGGGUUUAACCGCCCGGCCUCCCUCUCCAGGUUAAAUCGGAAAGGAAGGUCUAGAUUAUUAGUACACGAAAUAAACUUCGUUAUUAAUAUUUAGAAUUUAUUAGCCCUACCGUACCCUAAACCGACACAGGUUCGUAGGUAGAGAAUACUAAGGCGUAGAGCUAAAAGUUGUUAAGGAACUCGGCAAACACCCCUCAAACGCUUGGCAACAAGAGGUACCAAGCAACCAAGCUUAUUGGUUGUAGUUUGUUUCUUAGACAGAUCACAUUCUCUCUCCAAAUCGGAUAGAAAAUGAAUUAAAAAAUAAACAAAUUGGUGUCACAGAAUCGGAGGCCCCGACUGUUUACUAAAAACAUAACACAGUGCAAUCAUUAAUGUGGUAGUAUACUGUGUGAAAUUUGCUCGAUGCCAUUAAUAUAAGUAAGGUCAAUUAAAAAAUGACUGAAUGAAAAUCUGGUUAAUAGCGGUCUUAACUAUGAGGAUCCUAAGGUAGCAAAAUCAUUUGGCCUUUAAAUGAGGUCCAGUAUCAAUAAUGUAACGAUGGUCUCGCUGUCUCUACAACUUGCUCAGUGAAAUUGAAUUACGCGUGCAGAUGCGCGUUGCCUCCAGGGGGACGGGAAGACCCUAUGCAGCUUUACUGUAGUUAGUUAUCAUCUUGGAUCUAGAACAUUUGUUAAUAAUAGAUUAAUAGGGAAGUACUUUUAGUACAACAGUUGGAAUACCUUAGGUUAACAAUGGGUCCUGAUUCACCUUUUAAUAAUUAAAAAAUAUUGGGGACAGGUGACUAAUUGGCAGUUUGACUGGGGCGGUCGUCUUUAAUAUAGUAGCAAAGUACAUCCAAAUAUUUUAUAAAAAAAAAAGAAAAUAGUUUUCUAAACUAUUACUUCAAAUACAAUUCUAAUACCUAACUCUCCGAAAGGUCCUUUAUUUCCAUACCGGAUCUAUUGGUUCUAGACAGAGAGAAGGGUCUUAAAUUUUAGCUUUGGACUAUUAUUAGGAAAUAGUUUCUAUCUCUGAAUGUAGAUUCAACAGUUAAAUUUUAAUAGGGUUGCUUUUUAACAAGGUAUAGCUAGACAUUGAAUGGAGAUCAAUCAACCAGUGAAGGGUUGCGAAGAGUUUAAUGGCGGAAAGCAUGCCUAACUGAAAGACCUAAAAGUCGCACAGAUACGUAAGUAGGGCAUAGUGACCCCUCGCUAUAAUAUGGAAUAGACGGGGAUCAAUUGAUAAAAGUUACGCUAGGGAUAAAACAGGCUGAUAGCGGACGAGAGUACACAUUGUCUCCGCUGUUUGGCACCUCGAUGUCGACUCAUCCUUUCCUCUGGGAGUAGAAUCUUGGAAGGGUUCGGCUGUUCGCCGAUUAAAAGGGUACGUGAGUUGGGUUUAAUUAAUACGACGUGAGUCAGUAUGGUCCCUAUCUUCUGGAGGGACAAGUAGUAAACAGGGGGAGACCUUCUAGUACGAAAGGAUCAAUAGGCUGUGUUUCUCUAGUGUACCAAUUGUUUUAUAUUAUUCUUAAUUAUUAGAAUAUAAUUAAAUAAAUGAAUAAGUAUAGACGCAUAGUUGGGUAGCCACAAACAUAUUAGAUAAAUGCUGAACGAAUAUAAAGCAAGAAUCUAACCCCUAGAUACUAACAGAUUUUAAAUUUUAAAAUCUUGAAUUAAGAAAUAGAAGAUUUCUGAAUAGGCUGCGAAUGUACAUGAUGUAAGUCAUUAAUUUAAAAUUUUUGAGUAAAUUU
rnacentral:rRNA from 1 species